rnacentral:rRNA from 1 species
UUAACACAUGCAAGUCGAGGGGCAGCAUGGUCUUAGCUUGCUAAGGCCGAUGGCGACCGGCGCACGGGUGAGUAACGCGUAUCCAACCUGCCUUACACUCUUGGACAGCCUUCUGAAAGGGAGAUUAAUACAAGAUGUUAUCAUGAGUAAGCAUUUUCGCAUGAUUAAAGGUUUACCGGUGUAAGAUGGGGAUGCGUUCCAUUAGAUAGUAGGCGGGGUAACGGCCCACCUAGUCUUCGAUGGAUAGGGGUUCUGAGAGGAAGGUCCCCCACAUUGGAACUGAGACACGGUCCAAACUCCUACGGGAGGCAGCAGUGAGGAAUAUUGGUCAAUGGACGAGAGUCUGAACCAGCCAAGUAGCGUGAAGGAUGAAGGUUCUAUGGAUUGUAAACUUCUUUUAUACGGGAAUAAACGAAUCCACGCGUGGAUUUUUGCAUGUACCGUAUGAAUAAGGAUCGGCUAACUCCGUGCCAGCAGCCGCGGUAAUACGGAGGAUCCGAGCGUUAUCCGGAUUUAUUGGGUUUAAAGGGAGCGUAGAUGGGUUGUUAAGUCAGUUGUGAAAGUUUGCGGCUCAACCGUAAAAUUGCAAUUGAUACUGGCAGUCUUGAGUACAGUUGAGGUAGGCGGAAUUCGUGGUGUAGCGGUGAAAUGCUUAGAUAUCACGAAGAACUCCGAUUGCGAAGGCAGCUUACUAACCUGUAACUGACAUUGAUGCUCGAAAGUGUGGGUAUCAAACAGGAUUAGAUACCCUGGUAGUCCACACGGUAAACGAUGAAUACUCGCUGUAGGCGAUAUACAGUCUGCGGCCAAGCGAAAGCAUUAAGUAUUCCACCUGGGGAGUACGCCGGCAACGGUGAAACUCAAAGGAAUUGACGGGGGCCCGCACAAGCGGAGGAACAUGUGGUUUAAUUCGAUGAUACGCGAGGAACCUUACCCGGGCUUAAAUUGCAACCGAAUAUGGCGGAAACGCUAUAGCUAGCAAUAGCGGUUGUGAAGGUGCUGCAUGGUUGUCGUCAGCUCGUGCCGUGAGGUGUCGGCUUAAGUGCCAUAACGAGCGCAACCCUUGCCGAUAGUUACUAACAGGUCAUGCUGAGGACUCUGUCGGGACUGCCAUCGUAAGAUGUGAGGAAGGUGGGGAUGACGUCAAAUCAGCACGGCCCUUACGUCCGGGGCUACACACGUGUUACAAUGGGGGGUACAGAGGGCUGCUACCACGCAAGUGGAUGCAAAUCCCAAAAACCUCUCUCAGUUCGGAUUGAAGUCUGCAACCCGACUUCAUGAAGCUGGAUUCGCUAGUAAUCGCGCAUCAGCCACGGCGCGGUGAAUACGUUCCCGGGCCUUGUACACACCGCCCGUCAAGCCAUGGGAGCCGGGGGUACCUGAAGUGCGUAACCGCAAGGAGCGCCCUAGGGUAAAACUGGUGACUGGGGCUAAGUCGU